rnacentral:rRNA from 1 species
AGUGAACGCUGGCGGUAGGCCUAACACAUGCAAGUCGAACGGCAGCACAGUAAGAGCUUGCUCUUACGGGUGGCGAGUGGCGGACGGGUGAGGAAUACAUCGGAAUCUACUUUUUUGUGGGGGAUAACGUAGGGAAACUUACGCUAAUACCGCAUACGACCUACGGGUGAAAGCAGGGGAUCUUCGGACCUUGCGCGAUUGAAUGAGCCGAUGUCGGAUUAGCUAGUUGGCGGGGUAAAGGCCCACCAAGGCGACGAUCCGUAGCUGGUCUGAGAGGAGGAGGAGGCAGACGGGAAGUGAGACAAGGUCCAGACGCCGAGGGGAGGCAGCAGUGGGGAAGAUUGGACAAAGGGCGAAAGCCUGAUCCAGACAUGCCGCGUGGGGGAAGAAGGGAUGCGGAUUGGAAAGCACUUUAAGUGGGGAGGAAGGGCAGUAAGGUAAUACCUUGCUGGGGUGACGUGACCAACAGAAUAAGCACCGGCUAACUUCGUG